AUUGAACGCUGGCGGCAGGCCUAACACAUGCAAGUCGAGCGGAUGAAGGGAGCUUGCUCCUGGAUUCAGCGGCGGACGGGUGAGUAAUGCCUAGGAAUCUGCCUGGUAGUGGGGGAUAACGUCCGGAAACGGGCGCUAAUACCGCAUACGUCCUGAGGGAGAAAGUGGGGGAUCUUCGGACCUCACGCUAUCAGAUGAGCCUAGGUCGGAUUAGCUAGUUGGUGGGGUAAAGGCCUACCAAGGCGACGAUCCGUAACUGGUCUGAGAGGAUGAUCAGUCACACUGGAACUGAGACACGGACCAGGCUCCUACGGGCGGCAGCAGUAGGGAAUAUUGGACAAUGGGCGAAAGCCUGAUCCAGCCAUACCGCGUGUGUGAAGAAGGUCUUCUGAUUGCAAAGCACUUUAAGUUGGGGGGAAGGGCAGUAAGUUAAUACCUUGCUGUUUUGACGUUACCAACAGAAUAAGCACCGGCUAACUUCGUG
rnacentral:rRNA from 1 species